rnacentral:rRNA from 1 species
AUUGAACGCUGGCGGCAUGCCUUACACAUGCAUGUCGAGCGGCAGCGCGGGGGCAACCCUGGCGGCGAGCGGCGAACGGGUGAGUAAUGCAUCGGAACGUGUCCUCUUGUGGGGGAUAACCAGUCGAAAGACUGGCUAAUACCGCAUGAGAUCGAGAGAUGAAAGCGGGGGACCGCAAGGCCUCGCGCGAGAGGAGCGGCCGAUGCCGGAUUAGCUAGUUGGUGGGGUAAUGGCCUACCAAGGCGACGAUCCGUAGCUGGUUUGAGAGAACGACCAGCCACACUGGGACGGGGACACGGCCCAGACUCCUACGGGAGGCAGCAGUGGGGAAUUUUGGACAAUGGGGGCAACCCUGAUCCAGCCAUGCCGCGUGUGUGAAGAAGGCCUUCGGGUUGUAAAGCACUUUCGGACGGAACGAAAUCGCGCGGGCGAACAUCCCGCGUGGAUGACGGUACCGUAAGAAGAAGCACCGGCUAACUACGUGCCAGCCGCCGCCGUAA